AUUGAACGCUGGCGGCAGGCAUAACACAUGCAAGUCGAACGAGUGGCGGACGGGUGAGUAAUGUCUGGGAACCUGCCUGAUGGAGGGGGAUAACUACUGGAAACGGUAGCUAAUACCGCAUACCAUCGGAUGUGCCCAGAUUGGAUUAGCUAGUCGGUGGGGUAACGGCUCACCUAGGCGACGAUCCCUAGCUGGCCUGAGAGGAUGACCAGCCACACUGGAACUGAGACACGGUCCAGACUCCUACGGGAGGCAGCAGUGGGGAAUAUUGCACAAUGGGCGCAAGCCUGACUCAGCAACGCCGCGUGUAUGAAGAAGGCUUUCGGGUUGUAAAGUACUGUCAGUGGGGAGGCGUUACCUGCAGAAGAAGCACCGGCUAACUCCGUGCCAGCAGCCGCGGUAAUUC
rnacentral:rRNA from 1 species